GGCUGGAAUGUAAAAGGAAUGUCCAAAAUAUUUAAAUGACAAACAGGAUGGGAACUGAUAAUGAGGAAUGUAUGUCCAGUUUUUUUUUUGUUUUUUUUUGUGUUUUUUUAAUACAGAUAUGAAAGAUGACAUUACCCUAACUUAGAGUCAUAGGAGUUUCAUUAAUUUAUUUACUCAGAUGCUGAAACAGACAUCUGGCAUAUUCCUAUAAUCAGUAUCAUGGCCUUUGUAUACAACAAAAUUGAUUGGAACUCCUAGACUAGAAAUAUAAUUCAAGAUUUAAAUAAGGCACUGGUCAUAGUUUUAGAAAGUGUGGCUAGCAUUCUGAAGGAAGACAGAGAGAUGGAAAGACAUCAAAGAAUGGACAGGUCUGCCAAGAAAUGGUUUAUCCAGGGCUAAGUACAGAGAGGAAUAUAGAAGGGCUGUUGACAGAUCUUGUGUGGUGCCCCCAUGGUUCAACAGACUAAUUGAUUGAAAAUAAUACCAGGGUUAUGCUCCUUUGACCAUUGAGUUCCAGGAUGAAGAAUGAAAGACAGAGAGCAAUGUGAAGACAUGAAAGAAUGGGCAGGUCUGCCAUGAAAUGGUUUAUCCAGGGCUAAGUACAGAGAGGAAUAUAGAAGGGCUGUUGACAGAUCUUGUGUGGUGCCCCCAUGG